CCUCUACCUUUUGUUGAAGGGGUAAGCGAUGUUGCAAUGGAAGCAUGCCCCAAAGCCUUGACAAAUGAACAUGUGACUGGUGAACAGAAACUAAAAUUUGUUCCUUUAUUUCUUCCAAUGCUUGCGUUCCUCCUGAGUAACAGGCUCCGCACUGGGUGCUGAACAGCACAAGAGCCCUGGCCCUUGAAGGAAAUGAAGUCUGUCUGGGAAGCAAGGAAGCAACUGGACUGGUACACACAGCCUAGAGCAAGGUGAACCUCUUUGUGAAAAGGAACCUUGUGGUAGACACAGAUGAACAAUGCUCUUUCCUUUUGGAAAUUAACCAAGUGAACAAUACAGCGGUGCAUUAUAUCAUCUUGCCUCCCUCUGGCACUCACUACUUAUCUCAGUACAGGGAAGCCAGUGCCCAUCCCACAAGUGGCCAGUCACUGGAGGCUCCAGGAGGCAAACGCAGGCUUCUCCUUGUUUGUGCUUGCGCAGUUAAAUAAACCAAGUCAAAGGCAAAUGACAAACUUGCAGCAUAUAAAACAUACAAAGUAUUCAUAUCCUUAAGGA